UACGUAGGGUGCAAGCGUUAAUCGGAAUUACUGGGCGUAAAGCGUGCGCAGGCGGCUAUGCAAGACGGAUGUGAAAUCCCCGGGCUCAACCUGGGAACUGCAUUUGUGACUGCAUAGCUAGAGUACGGUAGAGGGGGAUGGAAUUCCGCGUGUAGCAGUGAAAUGCGUAGAUAUGCGGAGGAACACCGAUGGCGAAGGCAAUCCCCUGGACCUGUACUGACGCUCAUGCACGAAAGCGUGGGGAGCAAACAGG
rnacentral:rRNA from 1 species